UACUGAGCCACCCAGGCCCCCCUCCCCACCCCCCCCACCAGGGUCCUUGUUUAAAACAAGAUUGCUAAACUUCAGUCCCACAGGUAAUUCUAAUAAUAAUGGCCAAGCUGGCCUGGUCAGCUAAAAUUAUAAACUUAAGGUAUAGUUACAUCAAGAUUGAGCUAUAUCAUUGAAUUCUGUAAUUCCUAGUAUUCUGUCCUUCAACGUGGCCUAGUCUUCAUUUCAGCAUAUUUCUCCCACUCUGCUAACCCACUCUUGGCUGUGCAUUUUAAGCCCACCAUCUCAACAGCACCAGGGACUAGUUUUACACUGGAGCUGGAGGAGAGAGGAGGCCUGUAAUUGAAGCUCACAUUUCCUUUGGGGAUUUCUCAUUUAUACUCCCACUGCAUGUGUCCGUACAGGCCUUUGAUUUUUACUCCUCAUCCGGAUUGGGAUAUUAUUCUAGCAGUCUUCAUACUCAGGCAAGUUACAGCCCUUUUAAAAAAGUUUUCUAAUUUUAAAUUAUUUAGAAAUUGUAUCUAAUUUCCCCCAUAAUAGAACUUAAUAGUUAACUUUUUGUAGAAAUUUCUUGAAGUGUUUAAUAAACUAUAAAUGAUAUACCUAUAAAGUGUUUAGAGGUAUAAAUUAGUUAAUAUGACACAGAAACCCAUCUUAAAUGGAAUUUAAUGCCCUACAGUAUCAGAUUAAAUUCAUCUUCUCUGUGAUUCAUGUCUUAUUUUUACUAGAUCACGUUAGAAGAUAAGGGGCACUUUCAUUAAGUUCCUAAAAUUUACAGAGUUACCAACUUCCAGUUAUAAAAUAAAGAAGUCAUGGAUGAAAAGUACAUAACGGGGGUGGGGGGGGAGGGGGCAUGUAUUGAGCCUCAUUUGGAUAAAGGCAGUGUUCCUAAAGGCUUUUUUUUCCCUGAAGACAUUUGUGAUAUAAUAAUCUGAAAGUUUCUCUGUAGAGCAGAGACUGAAAAUUUUGGUUGUAACUCAUGGUAAAAAAUGCAUUUAUAUCAAAACUCAGCAUAUGCAUAAUGGAACAACAGUAUGUGCAGACACUCUGAUGCUUUUUAGUGUUUCAGUUUUUUAAAUAUGCUGGUUGCAACCUACCAAAUUGAUUUCAUAAUCUACCAAUGGGUUGCAGCCCUUAGUUUGAAAAGAAGAAAACACCCGAUAUUUAUUGAAUAUCAUUUGUUUUCCAGGCAUUUUACAGGCAAGGAAACUGAGUCUCAGAGAAGUUAAAUGAUUUGCAGAGGGUUAUUCAGCUGUAAACAGUUGAAACCGGGAUGUUCACUAGGUCUGUUGAACUACAGACAUUUCCAUUACUCUCCUACUACACUACUUCUGUGUAUAAAAUUGAGGUAGGCCAUUCGUCCUGCCUCACCCAAUCCCCGAAAUAUUCUCUGAGGCAGGCUUGCUGUGAAAUUACACAUGCCAUUCUUCUGCAGUGUUUUUUUUUUUUUUUUUUCUUUUUUAGAUCUUUGGUCACAAAGUGUCCCACAGCCUCAGAGUUUUUAAUAGUGGCUGAUCCAGAAGUACCUAGUGCUGAAUUUGGUCCUUAGACUAUAAAAUGAAAAAUGUUUCCAUUCCACCUGCACAUCUUAGAAUUUUUCUUGUAUUCCAUGGGUUGUAGCCAUCUCUUAAGCAGUGCUUUUUUAUAUUAAAAAUGAACUUUGCUGCAAAAUCUAUCAUAACUCAUAGAAUCAAAUGAUUACUCUCCUUGAAAAUGGUACCCUUGGGAGGCCACGCACUUACUGUAGUGACGCUAGCAUUACUUAGAACAUUUUUGAAACUUCUCUUUUGGAAUUGUCUCCAAAGACAUUUGUAAACCACAUAGAAAAGCCGUGUUGGUGUUUAUUAGUCACAAAUUACACUCCCUUGCCCUUAUGACCUUUCCUCUCUUCUGUUCUCAGUUUUGCUUUUCUUCUGCUGGCUUAGCUCUCCUACCCUCCUACUCUGCCAGUAACCUAAGGAUGCCCAGAAAAGGGGGUAUGCCGGCCAGAGUCCUGGAGCAAGAACUUUUAGUUUAUAUUGAAGUUGAAUGCUGCGAAGGGAGAAUCCUAGGAGUCCAGAAACCUUUCUCUGUGGGCUGCCUGCCUGCCUGUAAGUGUCCUACAUAGUUUGCACAGGAGUAAGGAGUGAAUACUGGUAAUAUCAAUCACAGGAAGUUGAGGAGAGGAAGCCUCCAAUAUACAUAAAUUGGGUACAUUUUUCUCUACUGAAGAACAGAAACCAAACCAAGCUAUGCUUUGUGUUAACUUAAAACUGAAAGGUCUUUCUCAGGGUCCCCUCUGCCCUUCAUUGCUGCCACUUGAAAUCUGGGAGGAAGAAGGAUGAAAAGCCUGGCAAAAAGUUCUCCUGUGAAGUGGACAUGUUCUUUUCUUGUUAUCAAGUGCAAUGUGGCUUUGGCUCUCAGGUACUUAUGAGUGUUAGACUAUGUUCGUAAGUAGUCAGAGGACUCAUGAAAAGUAGGAAAGCUUCCCCAGUAGCCUAAAAUAAUCUAAACAGUUGAGGUUCUAUUUGUGUUUUUAACACUUCAUUUUGUUUCUAGCAAGUGGUUCUCAAUAUUUAUAUUCAUUAAUUUGACACCGUUUUACAGAGAAACUUCUUGGGUACUAUAAACAAUCAGUGGCAAAAGGUCCAUAUAUUAUCCACAUUGCCACCCUCAAUAAAUGAUUUAUUUUUGGAGACAAGAAAUAUAUCUGUGCAAAUUUAACAAAAGAAAUGAAUGAAAAUGUGAAAAGGUGUCAGAGGCAAAUGAUUUGCCCAAGAUCGAAACUAGUUAGUACCACAGCUAGAAUUAUAUAUAACCAAGGUCUAAGAAAAAAAAUCCUCAAAGUAAUUUAACUGAGGUUUUGUUAUGUCAUAUUAAGUUGCAUGCUGAGGCUUAUGGUCUGAAAGACCAGCUUUAACAUUCCAAAUCAGGCGAUGGCAACAGUGAAAAGAAAAUUGGAUGGGGAAUCAGGAGAUCAGAGGCUAGUUUUGGCUUUGUCUCCUGCAUAGUAAGCUUUUCCUCAGGGGUGGCUGCCUUCUCCUGCUGCAGCCAGGGGUUCGCCAGCCAUAAACCUUAGUAGUUAGCAGCUUGACACUCUCCAUUCUUUAUAUUUAGCCACUUACUGGGUCUUGUCAAUUCUACUUUGAAAGUUAGUUUGCAUCUAUUUCUAAAUAUAUUCAUGGUCAUCACUCUAGUAAAAAACUGUAUUACUGUGUACCCCAUACCUCAUUUUCCCCAACUUUAAACCAUUCCUCAUAUCACUGCCACAAAAGUGAGAACGAGGUCCCUCUUCCAUUUUUCUGCUGAAAUCCUGUCAGUGGCUCCCACUGAGUACCUGAUAAAACUCAGAUCCCUUUGGGUGGCGUUCACGACUUGCCAUAGUCUGGCCCCAGCUUUAUCUCCUCAAACUCGACUGCUCCCCAUCUGACGUUGCCCCUGAGAAUCAGACAUUCCACAAAAAUAAUUUUAAGAUUUUUCCAUGAAGUUACAAACUGGUAAUAAACUGUUUAGAUUUGUCCAGACAGAAAUAAUUUCUGUAAUACUACAUUUUACAGAACUAGUCAGCCUAAAAGUUUCUUAAGGAAAAAACCUUUUGUCCCCCCAGAAGAAAUGACAUUCAGUUUCUUAACCUCCAAGACAAUGCCCAUCCUGUUGCCUGUGUAUCUGGUAGCCAAAGCAUGGCAGUUUCCUUCAGCGGCAUAGAUACUCCAGGGACCAUUGUCGAGCCCCUUUAAGAAACUUGACUAAUAAAUAUUUGAGGAAAAAUAACUCAAGAGUUUAUGUUAUUCAUACAUUUCUCAGGUACUUGAGAUUUUCUUGUAUUACGGUUAAUCAUUAAAAAGCUGUUUACCUGGGUUUUAUUAAAUCCCCUAAAGAUAUUUUCCAUUUUAUUGUUAAACCCUUAAUGUUAGCAAGGAUCAGCACAAGAAAAGCCCCAAUGGUGAGAAUUUCUACAAAUUCUGUAAAGCUUACUGAGUUCAUUAUGUUGAGUGGUGCUUGUAUAAGGAAACAUGCAAUAAAAUUCAUUCAACAAACA